rnacentral:tRNA from 1 species
UCCGUAGCUCAGCUGGAUAGAGUACCUGGCUACGAACCAGGCGGUCAGAGGUUCGAAUCCUCUCGGA